CUGCGGGAUGUUUUACGGCGACAGAGGGACAUCGAGAGGUGGAAGAAGCAAAGAGAUAGGAAUCCUACGGCUGAGGGACAUGAGAUCCAAUGGCUAGGAUGCGACCGGUGCGCCGGCGCUCAGCGUUGCCCAUUGAUGUAAACAGGGGCGGACCUACGUAGCGCCAACCGGUGUCACAGGACACCGGGUAAAUUCUGUAUAAUUACCCUAUACAUACGGCGCAUAUACGGCUGUGACACCGGUAAAAAAAGCAGAUGGACACCGGCUAGAGCUACUCAAGCGCGGCCCAUCUGGCGGCCCCUUCACCCAGCGCUGAGCGACACGGUCACGCGUGCGAGCGAGGCACAAAUACAGCCAGGUCCCAAGCUAUCGAUCAAUUUUUUUUCUUUUGAAUAUCAGUCAAUAGGCCCAGCCACCACGCCCCUACAAUACUAGUAUAGAUAACUAGAGAAUGAAAGAAAAAAUAUAUAGAACAACGAUUCAUGCAUCAACCUCUCUAUCGUGCGUGCCUCUAUAAUUCUGUUUUUUUCUUCUAAUUCUUGCUUCUGUAACUUUUUUUUUGCGGCAAUUGCUUCUGUAACUCAAUCAAUACACUUUAUUAGUUUACUUUUUCCAUAAAUAAUUUAGCUUUUUUAACACCACCUCAUAUAUUAAUUAAUCAAAAGAAAUGCUACAAUCGUUCAUAAAAUUCACCACAAAGUGCGGUACAUCAUUAACAAGGAUACCGUCCGAUCUAUUGUCAAAACAAAACUUUGCUUUAUGUGAUCAAGAUAUUUGUUUCCAUAGUUUGGAGUUUUUUAUAUAAUUUAAUGUCCAACUUUGCUAAUCUAGUAUUUCAAGUAUAACACUUCAUUACGCGGAGUAUUCCAAUUAUAGUGUCGUGCCCUUAUGCCUUUUUGCAAAAAAAAGAGAGUAUACGUUACAUUUAUAUAUACGGUUUUGCUAAAACUCAUUCGAAUGAGAAAUAGAUUGGUCUCAUUCACUUUUCCAACCAUCGGAUCUAGCUGCGUCGCGAUUCGUGUUUGUCAACGUGGAGAGCUUCGUAGCGACGUGUGCGUGCCCAUCUGGUGUUCGGCUCGCGACCCGGCCCCUUUUUUUUGUCUUUGCAGUCCGGCCCGGACUGUUUUUGACGCAAAAGCCCAGGCCUGCCUAGAAUAGGAUCUGCUAGUUUUUUAUGAGCAAAUCUAUUGCUGACGGAGUGGCUUCAAUUUUUUCUUUUUUUGGGCAAGCAAGAGAAUCCUGGCUGCUGCACAUUGCUCCAACAUUUAUAUCAGCGGCCUCCAGUACUGUAGUGUCAUGCCCUUUCUUUGUUUUUUUUGUUAUGGGAAUGCAGACCUUAACUUUUUUAUUGAUUUUUGUUUUGUUUUCUUCUACAUCACAUUUUUGUGUAAUACCUUUUCCUUGUUCUAAUUCAUCCCAAGGUCAUGUUUUUGUGUUUUCCCCGUAUAUGUAGGAUGGUGUGCCCAAUCUGCCAUUCGCAUGGUGGGAGCGAUAACGAGCAGAGUUUUCACAUUGUUAUCCGUGAUGACUCUGAAGCUUCAGCGAACAUUCCAUGCACUGCAAGGAAUAAGUUUAAGCAGGUGUCUGGGUUGAACUUUAAGGUGGCCGGUGACAACAUUUUUUUUCUUAGUUUUUUUGUUAGUACAACCCUCCCCCUGAGCGUAACUGCAACUUAGCACACCCAAGCGUAACCGGGCGUCGGGGGGAGGGUUUGUCGGUGUCGAUGAAAUCGGUUUCCAUUUCUUUUUGUUAGGGGUUUUCUGUUGUUGUAGUUGCAACCGCCCCAACCCGAGCGCAAUCACAACUCAGCACACCCAAGCACAACCGAGGGUCGGGGCGGAGGGCUGUCGGCGCCGAUGAAAUCGGUUCCAUUUUUUUUUGUACUUGCAACCGCCCCAACCCGAGCGCAAUCGCAACUCGGCACACCCAAGCGCAAUUGCAAGACAUAUAACAUGACCGCGCAACCGGGGGUCGGGCGGAGGGCUGUCGACAUCGAUGAAAUCGGUUUCCAUUUUCUGUUUGUUAGGUUUUUUUGUUGUUGUAGUUGCAGCCACCCAAACCCCAGCGCAAUCGCAACUCAGCACACCCAAGCACAACCGGGGGUCUGGGUUGGAAGGAAAGUUGUCAGGGCCAGUUGCAUGUGUUGGGAAACGUUGCAUGGAAAACAAAAAAAAAAUCUACGCACAUGCAAGAACUAUCAAGGAGAUGCAUAGCAACGAGAGGUUUAUGUUUCUGUCA